rnacentral:rRNA from 1 species
CAGUCGCCCGGUAAAACGGAGGGUGCAAGCGUUAAUCGGAAUUACUGGGCGUAAAGCGCACGCAGGCGGUUUGUUAAGUCAGAUGUGAAAUCCCCGGGCUCAACCUGGGAACUGCAUUUGAAACUGGCAAGCUAGAGUCUCGUAGAGGGGGGUAGAAUUCCAGGUGUAGCGGUGAAAUGCGUAGAGAUCUGGAGGAAUACCGGUGGCGAAGGCGGCCCCCUGGACGAAGACUGACGCUCAGGUGCGAAAGCGUGGGGAGCAAACAGGAUUAGAUACCCGUGUAGUCCCUGUCUCUUAUACA